rnacentral:rRNA from 1 species
UACGGAGGGUGCAAGCGUUAUCCGGAUUCACUGGGUUUUAAAGGGUGCGUAGGAGGGCAGGUAAGUCAGUGGUGAAAUCUCCAAGCUUAACUUGGAAACUGCCGUUGAUACUAUCUGUCUUGAAUACCGUGGAGGUGAGCGGAAUAUGUCAUGUAGCGGUGAAAUGCUUAGAUAUGACAUAGAACACCAAUUGCGAAGGCAGCUCGCUACACGAAUAUUGACUCUGAGGCACGAAAAGCGUGGGGGAUCAAAACAGG